CAAAAAAGACAUUGAUGUCAUAAAAUUUCUAGGAGUAGUUCAUCGCAGUGUAAAAUAUGUCACUUCCUGUUGCCAAUAGGUGGCGCUAUGACUAUAACUGAAUAUGGGCAUGUCAAUCUUUUCAGGUCAGGAGUCUUAUCAAACAUGUGAAGUUUGGGGCAGAUUGGACAUUGUAUGUCUGAGUUAUAGCAACUUCAUUUUUCAUGGCGAAUCAUCGAAAUUCGUCAGGCCGCCACGGACACGCUCUUCAACGAAAACUCAAGAUCUUCGCAAUUUAACAUCGCAAAGGCCUUUAGAUUAGGCAUACCAAAUUUGGUGUUGAUCUGAAUAAAUCUCUAGGAGGAGUUCGUUAAAAUACAAGGCAUGCAAAUGACAAAAAUGAUGCAAAAUUUGCUCAUAAAAUUAAAAAUAACCGACUUCCUGUUGGGUUUCGGAUAUUGCUCCAAGAGUCUUUUUUGUAGGUACUGAUGCCUUACAUAUGUGUGCCAAUUUUCGUGCAUGUACGUGAAACACAGCUCGAGGGCUGUUGAUUUUUUUACGGUAGGUGGCGCUGUCGAGCCAUUUUGCCACACCCUCUUCUGAAACCUAUAUCAGACGUAAAUUUUCACCAGGUCUGACGCGUGUGCAAAGUUUCAGGACUUUUCGAGCAUGUUUAGGCCCUCAAAAAUGCGAUUCAUUUUGGAGAAGAAGAAGAAGAAGAAGAAUAAUAAUAAUUAAAGCUGCAAGCAGCGAUGAACGGGCCCUCGCACCCGGGCUCUCCACCACCGGGUGGCUUUUGUAAAACAGCG
ensembl:lncRNA